UGGGGCGUGGGGUAACCUGGCAGCCCGGUGGAUUCUGGUUCCAUUAGUCCUGGUUCGAAUCCAGGCGCCCCAGCCA
rnacentral:tRNA from 1 species